GGGUUCGGGGAGUUUUCUCUGCACCCCGCUUGGAGACUUCACUCCCCACUGGAUCAAUCGCUCAGGGGCGAGCAGGGGCGAUCGGGGGUCGCGAGUGCGCGCCCCCCCCUCCCCAGCGGAAGGAAAUGGUCUCUGCGCGCGCGCGGGGGGCUGCACCCCGAUAUUUUAUUUCAUUUUUAUUCUUUCUCCCCGAAAUCAGGGAUUUAUUCGGGAGCCCAGAGAGGAGGGAGGGUAGUUCCCGGCGAGCCUCCCCAGCCGGGCUGGUUUAUUUAUAAAGUGUCCGCCCCAGCGCAGAGAGGGGCCCCCGGGGGAGACACCGCGGCCCCCGGGCGCCGGGGUGGGUUGGGCCCGGGCGCCCGGUUCCUCGGCGGGGAUACCCAGGAAGAGCCCCCUGACCCGUUUCAGGGCCCCCCAGACACAAAAGCGGGCGCAGGAAGCGCUGGGAGCGCGCGUUUGUCAACUCCAACGCUCGGCGCCGGCCCCGGGCGGCGGGUUCAAUUAUCUUCCGUUUUUAGGCGCUCGGGCUGGAGGGGUUCCCCCCCCCAUGCAAAUCGGCCGCUUUCCAAGAAGCCUUUGAAAUCCGGACCAGGGUUUC
rnacentral:lncRNA from 1 species